GUGGAUGUCUCCCAUAAGCAUAUAGAGGUAUGGAAAUGGAGAGGAAAUGGAGGAUGUUUUGCCACGUAUCGAUUAGUCUUCCAGAUUCCAGAGGAGUAGUCAAGGAUGUGGAGCUGAUGGCGUGCCGAUGGAUGACUAGUAGAGUAGCGGCAUAGCUAGGUGCGGCAAAAGGGGCGCGCGGCUGGAAAGAGAGGAGGCAUGGGCGUGGGGUAGGGGUGCGUCGGCUGGAGUGAGAUGUGGCACGAGUUUGGCACUUGGGGUGCACCGACGGAAAGAUAAGGCGGCACAACCACAACGAAGGACACAACAACGGUAUAAAUGAUGGAGGCAAGUAAUUAUUGUCGUAAGAAAAAAUAAUUAUUGAUAUGAAGAAAUGUAAUAUUUUAAAAUAUGAUAAUUCGAAGUAAUUAUUAUUGUGGUGAAAAGUAAUAACCGACAUGAAAAAAUAUAAUGUUUGUAAAAUAUUAUUUUUUUUCACAAUAAUUAUUAUUUCUAUUCAUGAUAAA